UGGCUCAGGACGAACGCUGGCGGCGUGCCUAAUACAUGCAAGUCGAACGAACUCUGGUAUUGAUUGGUGCUUGCAUCAUGAUUUACAUUUGAGUGAGUGGCGAACUGGUGAGUAACACGUGGGAAACCUGCCCAGAAGCGGGGGAUAACACCUGGAAACAGAUGCUAAUACCGCAUAACAACUUGGACCGCAUGGUCCGAGUUUGAAAGAUGGCUUCGGCUAUCACUUUUGGAUGGYCCCGCGGCGUAUUAGCUAGAUGGUGRGGUAACGGCUCACCAUGGCAAUGAUACGUAGCCGACCUGAGAGGGUAAUCGGCCACAUUGGGACUGAGACACGGCCCAAACUCCUACGGGAGGCAGCAGUAGGGAAUCUUCCACAAUGGACGAAAGUCUGAUGGAGCAACGCCGCGUGAGUGAAGAAGGGUUUCGGCUCGUAAAACUCUGUUGUUAAAGAAGAACAUAUCUGAGAGUAACUGUUCAGGUAUUGACGGUAUUUAACCAGAAAGCCACGGCUAACUACGUGCCAGCAGCCGCGGUAAUACGUAGGUGGCAAGCGUUGUCCGGAUUUAUUGGGCGUAAAGCGAGCGCAGGCGGUUUUUUAAGUCUGAUGUGAAAGCCUUCGGCUCAACCGAAGAAGUGCAUCGGAAACUGGGAAACUUGAGUGCAGAAGAGGACAGUGGAACUCCAUGUGUAGCGGUGAAAUGCGUAGAUAUAUGGAAGAACACCAGUGGCGAAGGCGGCUGUCGGUCUGUAACKACGCKAGGYCGAAAGUWKGKUAA
rnacentral:rRNA from 1 species